rnacentral:lncRNA from 1 species
UAUCAUGGUGAUGAGUUUAGAUCAGAAAAUGAGUUUUUGUGAAGGAUUGAUGAUGAUGAUGAUGAAGGGUUUAGAUUGAAUUUGAAAAUGAGUUUUAUUUUUUUCUCUCCAUUUUCUAUUUCCAUGCUUAAGAAUCAAUUUGUUUUCUUCCAAUUUCAAUUUCAAGGUUCGAUUUUUUUUCUUCAGUUUUUUGUUUUGCUGGGUUUUUUUCAUGAAGGUUGAUGAGGAAGAAGAUGAAGAAGUUGAAUGAAGGUGAUGACUUGUA